GUAUCUGAAUUCUGCUUUACUAUUGCAAGGUCCUUUAUAGACAGCAGUGAUGGGAAAUCCAUAAUCAUUUCACCAGAGCUUAGUCUAACACUUUUAUAGCUUCUGUUUAUAAUUUUAUAGGAAGGGGUCCUAGAAUGAUCCCCAUAACUUCUGGGGAAGGACACAUAAUAUCAGGUGUUAAAAGCACAGUCAUUAAAGCCAGACACCAAUCAACCUUUCUAUUAGCACAGUCUCAUCAAUAUUCUGAAGCUUAUUCUCCUAAAAACAGUCCAUAUUAACUAUUCAGUAUUGUCACUUAACAGGAGAUUUUAUUUAUUUUUUCUCUUUUUUUUAUUUUUCUGGGUACAGAGUAGGUAUAUAUAUUUACGGGGUACAUGAGAUGUUUCGAUACAGGCAUGCAGUGUGAAAUAAGGACAUCAUAGAGAAUGGGGUACCUAUCCUCUCAAGCAUUUAUCCUUUGAGUUACAAAAAAUCCAAUUGCACUCUUUAAGCUAUUUUAAAAUGCACAGUUAGGUUAUUAUUGGUAUGGUUACCUUGUUGUGCUAUCAAAGAGUGGGCCUUAUUCAUUCUUUCUAACUUUUUUUUGGUACCCAUUAACCAUCCACACCUCCCCACUAGUCCCCAAUUACCCUUCCUAGCCUCUGGUAACCAUCCUUCUACUGUGUUCAUGAGUUCAAUUGCUUUCAUUUUUAGACCCCACAGAUAAGAACAUGCAAUGUUUGUCUUUCUGUGCCUGGCUUAUGUCAUUCAACAUAAUGCCCUCCAGUUCCAUCCAUGUUGUUGCAAAUGACUAUCUCUCAUUCUUUUUUAUGGCUGAAUAGUAUUCCAUUGUGU
rnacentral:lncRNA from 1 species